GCCAGAAUAAAGCCUCUCCUCAAAAAACCAACUCUCAAUACCACCGACAUCCAGAACUACAGACCGUCAGGCUUCAAGAAGGCACACUCCACUGAGACGGCUCUCCUCGCGGUGACUGAGUCCCUCCUUGCUGCCAGAGCCUCGUCCCUAUCAUCGGUUCUCAUUCUCCAGCAUUUGACAAGGUGAACCACCAGAUCCUCCUUGCCACUCUUGCCGAACUUGGCAUCGCUGAAUCUGCUCUUUCCUGGUUCAAAUCCUACCUGAUGAACCGCACCUAUCAAGUGACAUGGAAUGGCUCCUUGUCCAAACCUUGCACACUUGAAACUGGUGUCCCCCAAGGCUCUGUACUGGGGCCUCUUCUGUUCUCCCUCUAUACCAGAUCUUUGGGCUCUGUAAUUACAUCACACAGCUUUUCCUAUCACUGCUAUGCUGACGACACUCAGCUAUUUCUCUCUUUCCCCUCAUCUGAUAAAGCCCUGAUUGCAACACGCAUAUCGGAAUGUCUGGCACCUGGACAACUGCCCAUCACCUGAGGCUUAACCUCAACAAAACGGAGCUCCUCCUAAUCCCAGGGAAAGAUUGCCCACACAUGGACUUACUGGUCACAGUUGAGAACAUCCCUGUAUCCCUGUAUCCUUCUCCAACUGCCAGAAACCUCGGUGUGGUAUUGGACAAUCAGUUAUGCUGCACCGUAAACAUCACUGCGGUGGCCCGAUCCUGCAGAUUUGCACUUUACAACAACCGCAGAAUCCGGCUCUUCCUCACAAGGGAAGCAGCUCAGCUUCUAGUCCAAUCACUGGUCAUCUCCCGCCUCGACUACUGCAACUCACUCCUGGCUGGACUUCCCGCCUCUGCGAUUAAACCUUUGCAGCGCAUCCAGAACGCGGCAGCGCGCCUUGUGUUCAACCUACUGAAGUUCUCCCAUUUGACCCCCCUCUUCCGGGACCUCCACUGGCUCCCUGUAGUAGCUCGCAUCAAAUUUAAGACGAUGGUACUGGCAUACAAGGCAGUAGACGGAACUGCCCCUGCCUACCUCCAAGCAUUGGUAAAGCCACACACCCCAGCUCGAUCCCUCCGCUCAACUACCUCAGCUGGACGUCUGGUAUCGCCAUCGCUAAGAGCUAGCAAAGGUCGUUCAGCAAAGUCACAACUUUUCUCGGUUCUGGGACCUCAGUGGUGGAACGACCUCCCUGCCGUUCUCAGGACCGCAGAGUCACUCACUAUCUUCCGAAAAAGACUCAAGACUCACCUGUUCAGAGUCCACCUCGACUCUGCAUAGCCACCCUCCCCCUUCUGGCCGCCAUUGUACAUUGUAUUGUAUUGUGUUGUAUUGUAUUAUAGUACUUAACUGUGUAGCAAUUGCAGUAGCUGCUAUCAUUGCUGUAACAGGGGGAAUUUGUUAGCCUAGUGAUUGUUGUACUUGCACUUGGUAAAGUCUAGAUAGAACUUUAUCAAUCCCCUGUAGGAGAAAUUUGUUAAUAAAACAAUAAUGGUAAAAAAAAUAAGGAAUCUCCCACUUCCGGCUUCCAUGAAAGAGAACCAUACUAAUUCACACAAUAGCGUUGAUGCAAAUCUAGCAUUAAAGGUUCAUUUAAGGAAGUUCUCUCCAGUCACGCUGAAACUAGUUUGCUAGUAGUAGCGCUUUAAUUUGCAGUGUAAGAGAAUUCUGAGAAAUCUGAAUGCUGACAAAAUUCUCAGAAUUCUGACACUGCAAUUUAUUUGCACGCUACGACUA